AACCUCCGCAAUGUGAGAAAUCGCGACGGGGGGAUCCCAAGUGCCAUUCUUAACGGGAUGGCUUUUCAUUAGUGUAAAGAGCUUUUGGAAUAAGAGCUGGGCAAGACCGGUGCCAGCCGCCGCGGUAACACCGGCAGCUCUAGUGGUAGCAAUUUUUAUUGGGCCUAAAGCGUCCGUAGCCGGUUUAAUAAGUCUCUGGUGAAAUCCUGUAGCUUAACUGUGGGAAUUGCUGGGGAUACUAUUAGACUUGAGACCGGGAGAGGUUAGAGGUACUCCCAGGGUAGAGGUGAAAUUCUGUAAUCCUGGGAGGACCGCCUGUUGCGAAGGCGUCUAACUGGAACGGUUCUGACGGUGAGGGACGAAAGUUAGGGGCGCGAACCGGAUUAGAUACCCGGGUAGUCCUAACUGUAAACGAUGCGGACUUGGUGUUGGGGUGGCUUUGAGCUGCUUCAGUGCCGAAGGGAAGCUGUUAAGUCCGCCGCCUGGGAAGUACGGUCGCAAGACUGAAACUUAAAGGAAUU
rnacentral:rRNA from 1 species